rnacentral:tRNA from 1 species
AGCUCAGUCAGUUGAGCGUAGCGCUAACAAUGCCAAGGUCGCGGGUUCGAUUCCCGU